rnacentral:rRNA from 1 species
UGGGAUUGCACAGACAACCAGGAUGUUGGCUUAGAAGCAGCCACUCAUUCAAAGAGUGCGUAAUAGCUCACUGGUCGAGUGAUCCUGCGCCGAAGAUUUCCGGGGCUAAAACUUACUACCGAAGCUACGGCAUCAGUAAUGAUGGGUAGGGGAGCUUCCCAUACGGGUUGAAGCAUGACUGUAAGGACAUGUGGACAGUAUGGGAGUGAGAAUGUUGGCAUGAGUAGCGAGAUGUGGGUGAGAAUCCCACAGGCCGUAAACCCAAGGUUUCCAGGGGAAGGUUCGUCCGCCCUGGGUUAGUCGGGACCUAAGCUGAGGCCGAAAGGCGUAGGUGAUGGACAACAGGUUGAUAUUCCUGUACUACCGAUAACCGUUUGAGAGAAGGGAUGACACAGUAGGAUAAGCUAAGCACACUGUUGGUUAUGUGUGCCCAAGCAUUGAGGCAGUCAAAGUAGGCAAAUCCGCUUUGAUAAUGCUGGGAUGUGAUGGGGAGCGAAAUUUAGUAGCGAAGUAGCUGAUUUCACACUGUCAAGAAAAGUCUCUAUCGAGGUUAAAGGUACCCGUACCGCAAACCGACACAGGUGGGUGAGGAGAGUAUCCUAAGGCCAGCGAGAGAACUGUUGUUAAGGAACUCGGCAAAAUGACCCCGUAACUUAGGGAUAAGGGGUGCCACCAUUAGGUGGCCGCAGAGAAUAGGCCCAAGCGACUGUUUACCAAAAACAUAGGUUUCUGCUAAGUCGCAAGACGAUGUAUAGGAGCUGACGCCUGCCCGGUGCUGGAAGGUUAAGGGGAUCUGUUAGAGNNNNNNNNNNNNNNNNNNNNNNNNNNNNNNNAAUCGAAGCAGUGAACUUAAGCCCCAGUAAACGGCGGCCGUAACUAUAACGGUCCUAAGGUAGCGAAAUUCCUUGUCGGGUAAGUUCCGACCCGCACGAAAGGCGUAACGAUUUGGGCACUGUCUCAACAACAGACUCGGUGAAAUUGUAAUUCCGGUGAAGAUGCCGGAUACCUGCGACAGGACGGAAAGACCCCAUGGAGCUUUACUGUAGCUUGACAUUGGGUCUUGGUACUACAUGUACAGGAUAGGUGGGAGGCUUUGAAACCAGGACGCCAGUUUUGGCGGAGCCAUCCUUGGGAUACCACCCUUGUAGUACUGGGACUCUAACCAUAGGCCAUGAAUCUGGUCUUGGGACACUGUCAGGUGGGCAGUUUGACUGGGGCGGUCGCCUCCCAAAAGGUAACGGAGGCGCUCAAAGGUUCUCUCAGUACGGUCGGAAAUCGUACGUAGAGUGUAAAGGCAAAAGAGAGCUUGAUUGCAAGACAUACAGGUCGAGCAAGGAUGAAAAUCGGACUUAGUGAUCCGGUGGUUCUGCGUGGAAGGGCCAUCGCUCAACGGAUAAAAGCUACCCUGGGGAUAACAGGCUUAUCUCCCCCAAGAGUCCACAUCGACGGGGAGGUUUGGCACCUCGAUGUCGGCUCAUCACAUCCUGGGGCUGUAGUAGGUCCCAAGGGUUGGGCUGUUCGCCCAUUAAAGUGGUACGCGAGCUGGGUUCAGAACGUCGUGAGACAGUUCGGUCCCUAUCCGUCGCAGGCGUAGGAAAUUUGAGAAGACCUGUCCUUAGUACGAGAGGACCGGGAUGGACGUACCUCUGGUGUACCAGUUGUNNNNNNNNNNNNNNNNNNNNNNNNNNNNNNNNNNNNNNNNNCUGCCAAGGGCAUGGCUGGGUAGCUAUGUACGGAAUGGAUAAGCGCUGAAAGCAUCUAAGCGCGAAGCCAACUUCAAGAUAAGAUUUCCCACCGCAAGGGUAAGACCCCAGAAAGACUAUCUGGUUGAUAGGUCGAAGGUGUAAGUGCAGCAAUGUAUUUAGCUUAUCGAUACUAAUAGGUCGAGGACUUGACCAA